AAAUUGAAGAGUUUGAUCAUGGCUCAGAUUGAACGCUGGCGGCAGGCCUAACACAUGCAAGUCGAACGGUAACAGGAAGCAGCUUGCUGCUUUGCUGACGAGUGGCGGACGGGUGAGUAAUGUCUGGGAAACUGCCUGAUGGAGGGGGAUAACUACUGGAAACGGUGGCUAAUACCGCAUAACGUCGCAAGACCAAAGAGGGGGACCUUCGGGCCUCUUGCCAUCAGAUGUGCCCAGAUGGGAUUAGCUUGUUGGUGAGGUAACGGCUCACCAAGGCGACGAUCC
rnacentral:rRNA from 2 species